rnacentral:rRNA from 1 species
UACGUAGGGGGCAAGCGUUAUCCGGAUUUACUGGGUGUAAAGGGAGCGCAGACGGGAAGGCAAGUCAGAUGUGGAAGCCAGGGGCUCAGCCCAUGGAGUGCAUUUGAAACUGUAGUCCUGGAGUACUGGAGGGGUAAGCGGAAUUCCCGGUGUAGCGGUGAAAUGCGUAGAUAUCGGGAAGAACACCGGUGGCGAAGGCGGCUUACUGGACAGAGACUGACGUUGAGGCUCGAGAGCGUGGGGAGCAAAC